AUGGUGUUGAGUAACUGGGCCCCGAUGACCUGGAGUUCUGGGAACUGCUGCUCUUGGACCAAGGCAAAGGGCAGAGGAAAAGCAGCCGGUGAAAAUAGUCUUCAUCCACCUUCGUCACCAGCUCUGGCACUGAGUGGCUGCUGGCUCCUCCCCAAAGUCACAGUGCCCAGGACAGGGAGACGUCUUGAAUCCAUUCAGGACAUGGAGGCAGCCAGCACAGCACAGCUAAAGACCCUCAGGAAAGAGGACUCCAGAGCUGCGGCAGGAAGUGCUAGAUUCUUCAAACUGAGAGCAGUGUCUCCUGGCCACACCCUCCCUGGAGCAUCACUGGAGUCCAUGAGGAAGGUGACCCUGGCUGGCUUCUCUGCACUGAGCAGCUGCCCUGUCCCUCUGCAGUGGCCCCAGCCAGAGGGAAUGCCGUGUCUGAGCCACUUCUGGGCCUUGUGAUCUCCAUCCGGCCCAGCCCACGACAGUGCUGCAGGUCUGGGGGACUUUGGCCAGCCGUGGGGACGGCAGACUCUGGUCCCCGGGACACCCCAGCCACCAGGCGCGCACCAUGCCCUCCCAGUGUAACGGCUGUGCUGCUGACCCAGGACACGGCCGGCAACUCUGGCUCUCGGGGCCUGGCUUUGGUCCUCACUCAAGGUGAAGUUUCAAAGUGAAUGACACAUGUUCUUCUCCUGCGACCUGCCGAGGGUCUGGAAGGGUUUCAGAGAUUCACUCUGAACCCAGGACCACCAAAAAGGUCCAAACGGGCUAUUUCCACAAUCGUUUCAUCAAAGCUAAGAAGAAAACAAUCUCCUCCCGCCCCAGGGCUGCUGCUUGCCCCUUCGAAAUUCUCACACAAAAUGUGAAGCUGGCCUUUGGACUGAGGAGUUAAACAUGGUGGGGACCAGAAAUGAACUUGGCUUUGAGCCCAGCUCUCACUGGGAGCCUCGUGGAAUUUGACCUGAGCUUCUCCACUGUACAGAGAGGAUUGUGACGAAACGGGGACCUCACGGCCAGGGAGAGGCUGGAGAAAGACAAUACCAUGUAGAAAGUCUGGACCCAAACUUGCAAUUGUCCUGCCUCAGCCUCUCAGAAGGAACACAGACAUGGGCUUUAUUCGGGCCUCAUUUUCUGCCACAACUUCUUUCCUCCGUGUAUUCACGCGAUUUAUCUAAAUGGCCUUAAUUCGUGGGUGCCCAACUGCCACGGGCUGCAUUUCAGGCCCCACCUCCUAAUUCCUGUGCCGAAGCAAUGGUCAGUGUGCUGGUGCUGGGAUGCAGGCCCUUGGGAGGUGACAAGGUCCUAAGGGUGGGACCAUAUACAGAGUGAGACGAGCCAGGCUGUAAGCCCGGGGCUCUAGGAGGCUGAGGCAGGAGGAUUCAGAAGUUCCAGCCCAGCCCAGCCACCUUAGCAAGGCCUGUCACAAAAGAAAAAGUAACAAAAGGGCUUGGGAUGUGGCUCAGUGCAGAGGCCCUCGUUCGAUCCCCAACUGCAAGCACAGAGGGAUACGCAACACAGCUGACCUGCUUUCAUCCACUCAGGCAGGGCUGCAACCCGAGGUGGAGCCCUCACCCAGGCCCGAGCACACUGAACCCUCAAGAGAAAGGAAGCACUUUGGUUCAGGACACGCCAGCCCCAGGGACCAAGACAAAAACCCUGCUGCAUUUGUUUGUUUGGGUUUUGUUUUGUUUUGUUUGAGACAGGGUCUCACUGUGUAGUCGAGGCUGACCUGGAACUCACUGUGUAGCCCAGGCUGGCCUCGAACUCACAGCAAUUCCCGAGUGCUGGGAUUGUAGGCCUAUGCCACCUCGCCCAGCUACCCUGCUGUCUUUGGAAACAUCUUUGGUCUGAGAGACAGAGAGAGGGAGAGAAGCAGUAGGUGACAGACGACAAAUGAGCCGGGUAGAGAGAUGACAAAUAGACGGACGGACAGACAUACGGAUAUGAUUGACAGAGGAUAGGCAGGUAGCGACAACAGACACAGAAACAGCGCUGUCCUCCACCGCUUUUCACAGCCCAGGCCAGGCCCCCAAGACUCCAGAGCACAGAAGAGCGUUCUCGAGCUCCCUGGGCUGGGGCUGGUGGUGCCACUUCCACAGGGGAUGCCUCACUGGUCUCCGUUUACCCUUGGAGGAUACUACAGGAUUUCUGUCUAACGGUAGUGGCCUCCUGCAUUGUACCGCCCCCUGCGGCCAGCAGCCAGUGCCAUUUGGUUCGGUUUUGCUUUGGUUUUUUAAGACAGGAUCUUGCUAAAUCGCUAAGUUGCCCAGACUGGACUUGAACUUGCAAUCCUCCUGCCUCAGCCUUCCAGAGUGCUGGUAUUACAGGUGUGCAGCUCCCAACCCAGCUGAAUGGAGUUGAAUAAUGCUGUUCUUGUUCAGCCCCCUUGUGGGACCUGAAUGAGCUAAAGUGACUCCAUGCUAAUAGGCCAGAGACUGUGCGUCUUCAUAUGCUAAGUGCUAACUUGGUUAACAGCCUGACCAGGGACAAGUGGUAGGACAAAAGGUGACCAUAGAACAUUUCCUGCAUGAGAUAAGCAGUGUGUUUGGAAUGUUGUCCUCUGGUAGUUCUGCGAAUGCCCUGACCUAUGUUUGAAACUUUUUAGAAAAACCCUAUAAAACAAACUCAGCCCCUGAGCAGUCUCUCUGAGCUACCUGGCUCCGGGAGUGCCAUCUGGCCAGACUAUAAAGGUCUGUUUACCAUCCAGCCUGGUGUGCUCCUUCCUGGGUGACUCUCAUUCCUCCGUCGUCCAGCUUCCCGGAGCCCCACUGAGUUAGGUCCCAACAUCUUGGAGGCCUUUUGGGGUGUUCAAGGCUCCCGAAAGUAAGGCCCUGGGUCUUUCAUCUGGAGCCCUCCUUGGGCUGUAGGACUUAGCAUCGUGGAGGCCCUUUCGGCUGUUCAUGCUCCGCGGAGUGGAAGUGAGACUUUAGAUCUUACACACCCUGAGCCUUGGGCUGUUUCCUGAGUUUACAUCGGAACUGGCAAGGGCUGUUGGGUGCCUGCGACCCCUGCCUCCAACCUGUUCUCCACGUCACGCGCUGACCAGGUCCCACCCGGGAACCAGGGUAAUCAGCCUAUUUUAAGGCUGGUGAUGAACAACCCUAAUUCCAUCUGAGCUCACAUUCUUUUUUUACUGUGUACUGUGACACAUUCAGGGACCAGGGGUCAGGACCUGGUGCCUCUGGUGUCCCCUUUCCAGCCACCAAACAUGCUCUGCCACAACACUGUCCCCUCAUAGCAACAAAUGCUUCAGUAACUUUGGCUGCUCUGAAAUGUAAGAUUUGUCCUGAGAUUUUUUUUUUUCAGUACCGGGGAUCAAAGUGGGGACCUUGAGCUUGUGAGGCAGACAGCGGCACCACUGAGUUAAAUCCCCUGCCCCUAAUUUUUUUUUUUUAAGACAGGGUCACAUUGUGUAGUUCAGGCUGGCCUCAAGCUCACUGUGAGGCCUUGAACUCAUGGUGAUCCUCCUGCCUCAGCCUCCCAGAUGCUGGGUGACAGGUGUGCAUCACCUCCUGCACAUUCUUGCGGUCUGUUUUCCUGCCCUGGGGCCUGGCCCUGGCCUUGAGACCCUUCUGCAGACAAGGCGAGCAGCCCAGGGCUUGACCUCCAUCUCAGUGGUCACCUGCCUGUUGCCCUCCUCCUGCGCUCGCUCACACACCCGCACACACUCACCCAGCCCUUCCCUGGCUGUCUCCGACCCGUCCCACACCUCCUCUCUCAUGGAGGAUGGGGAUGGCUCCACUGACCACCCAGGCAGAGCCGGGCCCCAGAUGCCCCAGGAGGUGACUCCAUGUCUUUCUGCACCUAAAAACAUUGACUAGGGACUCUGCCCAGCAGUGUCACCUUGAUCCAGUCAUUGAGACUCUGUGCUUCAGAGUUUUCUGCAAAGACAAAUCCUGCAUGUUUGCCCUAAUAUGCAGAAUCUGGAAAAAAAAAAAAUGAAGCCGGACGUGGUAGCGCAUGACUGGUAUCUCAGCACUCUGGAGCCUGAGGCGGGAGGAUCACUGGUAGUUGGAGGACACCCUGGGCUACAUAGUGAGAUGCUUUCUCAAAAACAAUGGGCAGGAGGUUGGUUCGGUGGUGCUGCAGCCUGCCUAGCAAGCACAAGGGCCUGAGUUCCAUCCACCCUAGCAAAAAUAAAGACAAGAAGGCGGCCAUGGGGGAGAGGGGAGCGGGGGAUGGCAGGGUGCUACCGACCGUAGGGCAGCAAACACGGGAUUUCACAAGGAGAUGCAGGUUCUCUGAAAGGUGGGAGCAGGUUCGGGGAUGACAGUCAGACAAAAGCACUCAACACCGAGGUGAAGUUUGCAAAUGCUGCUGCAAAAUUUAUUUUUCAAAGAGCUUCCUUUAUCCAGAUUUCUAUGUCCUUAUAGCAAGUCAGGGGCAACGAGCUGAUCUCUCUAGGCAUCUAUUUCCGCUUGCUGAGCUGGCGCCUGCCAAAUACAUCAUUAUAGAAUACAUUGUGAAAAGUUAGCAGGAGUUUAAGCUUUCUUUCCAUCUUAGCUGAUAAUAUGCCAGUGGCCAUUUUUUCCCCAAUGAUUCAUUGUUUCUCAGAUGUUUGACAAUAUAUGGUAAUUCUGAUGAAGUAUCAGUAACGUCUGUAACAUUACAUGCUAUUUUCCUGAGAACUAUUUCCUUAAAAGAAAUAUUCCCCUCAAAUGCACCUUCUGUUCAGUUAUUAUUUGACUGAGAAGGCUGUGUCCAAACAGUGACAUUCUUAUCCUCCAUAUCUUUGGGUACAUCUAAUCCUUCUCCUUCUUGAAAACCACUAGGCAUUUUCAAAAAACACAAACACACAGAGAUCAAUAGAAAAUAAAUCAAAAUUGUAACAGAACCCAUUGUCCCCAAGCUGCAGGCGAAGAAACCAACGAUUCCUUCUUUGCCUGACUUUUAAUGCCGUGCAUGCCAAGGACCUCCAGGAGGCUUGACCCCGAGGGGACGAUACCUCAGAUCCGGUUUCUGCCAGGUGGUCGGCAUUGUCACGCAGAUUCCACUGGAGUGGUCGUGGCAGCAGGGGACGGCGGGGCAGGGCAAUCAAUGAGACAGAUGCGAUCUGAGUGUAUGCGUGGAUUAAAUUAUCACAAGAGAACCAGAUCUAUAGAAACCACUGUGCACAGACAGAAACGUACACCGAAACCUUUUCCUCCCUGAAACGGGACUGAAGAAAAUCCGUUAUUCUGAGGGCUAAGGGAGCAUGAAGUCGAAGAAUUCGUGCGCAAACGUGUAGAUGGGGAGGGGAGGAGGGGGUGAAGGGAGGGCAGGGGUAAGGGGAAAAAAAUGAGAACCAAGACUUGUCAUGUAGAGGUACAAGAUCCCAACAAUGAAUGUAACUGU
ensembl:lincRNA